GAUCUGAUGGUAUAAUUGGUUAGUGCACCUGCUCAACAUAUUGUCCUUCUAAAGUUUAAACAGGAACUCCCUGUUCGAUCCAGGGUCAGAUCA